rnacentral:rRNA from 1 species
GAUGAACGCUGGCGGCGUGCCUAAUACAUGCAAGUCGAGCGAACGGACGAGAAGCUUGCUUCUCUGAUGUUAGCGGCGGACGGGUGAGUAACACGUGGAUAACCUACCUAUAAGACUGGGAUAACUUCGGGAAACCGUAGCUAAUACCGGAUAAUAUUUUGAACCGCAUGGUUCAAAAGUGAAAGACGGUCUUGCUGUCACUUCUAGAUGGAUCCGCGCUGCAUUAGCUAGUUGGUAAGGUAACGGCUUACCAAGGCAACGAUGCAUAGCCGACCUGAGAGGGUGAUCGGCCACACUGGAACUUGGACACGGUCCAGACUCCUACGGGAGGCAGCAGUAGGGAAUCUUCCGCAAUGGGCGAAAGCCUGACGGAGCAACGCCGCGUGAGUGAUGAAGGUCUUCGGAUCGUAAAACUCUGUUAUUAGGGAUGAACAUAUGUGUAAGUAACUGUGCACAUCUUGACGGUACCUAAUCAGAAAGCCACGGCUAACUACGUG